AUGUUCAAUUAUUGUCUGUGGGCCGUUCGCGGGCCCCGGCACUUCUGUACUAGGUUAAUCUUUCGUUUAAAUAUUUUUUUAACUAUUAAUUAUUAUUUAUACUAACGUUAAUGUUAAAUAAAUAAAGAAUUCAAGUUCAUAUCUCAUAGUACUACAGGUGAGUGCUUCAAUAACGAUGUAAUUUUCAAGUUAACGAGUACUAAAUUAAUAUUCAUUCUAAAAUUAAAAACUAAUCAAAUUUGAGUUUAUGGCAAUGAUCAGUAUCUAUAAAUACCUGGGCCCACCCAUCCAUACCAUUAUACCGAGUGAAUCGCGCUGAAUAACCCAUCCAGUCAAUAUGACUCCUAACCACCUUUCACAUCAAUCUAAAGAACAAAAUACUCUUGUAUGAACUUGUACUACAAUUUGUAUGGUCAUGUGGUGUACAACUUAUAUAGACAAACUUAAAUGGGAAGAAGCAAGUAUUAUUUUUCCAGUUACUUGUGUUAAUAAUAAAAUUGUUUACAUUUAUAUAACAGGCAUCACUAGUAGUUUCAUUGUUUAAUGACUGGUUUGAUUUUUUGAACACUCAACAAAAAUAUAAUAAUGGGGUAUCAAGUUAUGGUCUGAAUGAAAAUGUUCAAAAUGAAUCAAUUACUUGACAGGAUGACUAAAUUCAUAAAAUCAAUGAAAGAUGAGAGUACAUGGUAAAACAUCAUUACUACCUUUUCAAAAGGGUAAUAAUAGGUGUCCAUUUAACUUCGGAGCAGAAAAUUAAAGUGAUAUAAUUUGACGAGUUAUGUUUCUCAAUCAAUAUGCUAUGACAAAAAUGAAAAAGUAUGAGAAAGUGUAUGGGUCACACAAGUGUGUUCAAACAGUUGUAGUUAAAGGUUAAAUAGAAAAUUGAGAGCAGCCAAUCUAUUAUAAUUAUGAUACUCUUAAGGAUAAAGAGUAUGGAUAUUAUAUUGUUAAAAAUUAUAGAAGAACUAUAUUAAGUUGGUUAUGAUGUAGCAACCGUCAGUGGUAUGAAUCUACAAACAUUGGCUUGACGCAUAUUCUUAAUGUAGAUGAGGAGAACACAUCAUUGAAGCAUUUCUAAUAUCAAUGUACAUGUGUUUUCACACGUACCUCAUUUAAUAAAAUUAGCUAGGAAUCAUUUCCUUGACAGGUUAAAUUAAUAUAAACUUAUAAAAUUGAAUAUUUAAAUAAAUUAAAAUGUUCUUUCAAAAGAUUUUUUCUUCCCAAUAGAAAGUAUAUUGGGGAAAAUAUACAAUCAAGAGUUACUAAAUUCAAAUACAGGGUAAGACCUUAAAUUAGUUCAUAAAGCCACAGAACGUCACAUUAAUGUCAAAGAAGCCUGAACAAAUGAAUGUAAAGAUCACUAUCAAUUUGUUCAACUAUCUAAAUGAUCGAAGACUAUUAUUUUCUAACAAGGAAAUUUAAUCAAAAUGUAGUUGAGAACCUUUUUAGCUUUUUAAAGGAUAUAGCCAGAUCUGCAUAUAAUAGAACAAAUGCCCUUGAUUUUAAAAUAUUAGUAAAUACUGCCAACUAUUCAUUUUACUAAUAUAAAAACCCGAGGAAAUUUAUAAAUACAUUUUGUUGUUUAUAGUUUUAAAUAGUAUAUUCUGGGAAAGAAUUUCAACUUUGUUUUUACUAAAAACAACAAUUUUAAAAAUAAUUCAGAAGAAAGUCUUAAAUGAUUCCAAGUGUUUAUUAAUUAUAGUGAAGUUGUCCGAGAUUGUGAAUUGUUACCUGACUCACUUUCUUUGGUCACUCAUAACAAUGAGUUGACAUUUGGUACAGCAAUAGAAGAAUUUGAAGCAGCUAAUGAACCAUUUGAUGAUUUAGAAAUAGAAUGUAUAAGUAGAUAACUGGGGAUCUGAUAAAUCAAUUUGCACAUGAAUAUUCUUGUUUACUAAGUUCAGACAUAUCUAACCAAAAUAAAACAUCAAAGUCUAAUUGGAUAAGUCAUAUUGCAAAGGACAAUCUUAAAAAUUACCCAGAAAAAUCAUAAGGCUUAUUAAAAUAUCAUGGAACCUUAAUUCAAAGAAAUUUAUGGUGAUAGUAUUUCAAAAGCUCCUAGAAUUACAAAAACGUUAAACCAAUAAAUUGUUGAAUAUCUUUUCAUCGCUUAGUAUUCCAUAAGUUUUAAAUUGUUUGGUGCGAACUAGAACAUUUAUAUGAUUUAAUCACCUGAGCAAAGAAAUAUUAUACAAAAGCAACAUAGUAAUCAAAAAUUAAAAAUAUGUUAAUUAUGAGUUAUGCUUACUUAACUGUAUAUAACUCAAAAGAAUAAACCAAUUUAUGAUUUAUGAA